rnacentral:rRNA from 1 species
GUAGUUUGAUCCUGGCUACAGGACGAACGCUGGCGGCGCGCUUAAAACAUGCAAGUCGAACGGAGUCUUUUGGAUUCGUCUGGAAGACUUAGUGGCGAACGGGUGAGUAACACGUGAGGAACCUGCCCUACACAGGGGGAUAACACUUAGAAAUAGGUGCUAAUACCGCAUAAGACCACGGAACCGCAUGGUUCAGAGGUCAAAGGAGCGAUCCGGUGAAGGAUGGCCUCGCGCCCGAUUAGCUGGUUGGCGGGGUAACGGCCCACCAAGGCGACGAUCGGUAGCCGGACUGAGAGGUUGGACGGCCACAUUGGGACUGAGACACGGCCCAGACUCCUACGGGAGGCAGCAGUUGGGAAUAUUGCACAAUGGGCGAAAGCCUGAUGCAGCGACGCCGCGUGAGGGAAGAAGGUUUUCGGAUUGUAAACCUCUGUUCUGUGGGACGAAAGAAUGACGGUACCAUGGAAGGAAGCUACGGCUAACUACGUGCC